rnacentral:pre_miRNA from 1 species
AAAGUACUCCCUCCGUCCCAAAAUUCUUGUCUUAGAUUUGUCUAGAUACGGAUGUAUCAAGUCACAUUUUAGUAUUAGAUACAUCCGUAUCUAGACAAAUCUAAGACAAGAAAUUUUGGACAGAGGGAGUAGUUG